rnacentral:sRNA from 1 species
GCCAGGCGCGAUGGCGCAUGCCUGUAAUCCCAGCGGCUCAGGAGGCUGAGGCAGGAGGUUUUCGAGUUCAAAGCCAGCCUCUGCAACAGCGAGGUGCUAAGCAACUCAGUGAGACCCUGUCUCUA